UCCAUUGUUAGAAAGAAAGAAGAGGUCUGGCGAAUCCAAUGGAGAUGCAGGGAUGAUGAGGGGAAACAAUUUUGGUUUCUUAGAUCAACCCAUUUUCCCCUGAUUCCGUUCGUGUUUUUCCUUUUUGCUUCUUCUUUCUUUUUAUUUUGGGAACUGAUAGACCAUAAUCUGUUGCCUUCCACGCUUUUUGCACAACACAGUUCCUAGGGUUUCUGCAAGUACAUAAUGCAUAUUACCCGUUCCUCACAUAGUCCUGCUUCUUCUUCAACAUUAGAACUACAUGCAUAUUUCAUUCACUAUCCAUUCUGUGGGUAUGAUGGGUGGAAAGAUGGGAUAGGAGGCAGAGGUUAUGCCAGGAACUCUCUAAUUCUCCACCUAAAUGACAAGCAUCUUGUCAAUGGAGAUGAAAAAAACGCUCUAGGCUUAGAUUAUCCUCCAUUCAUGAUGUCUACAAUGCCUGUGAGUUUGCUUUGCGGCAGCUGCAGAUGUGGUUAUACACAGAUUGCAUGUUGCUUCACGCUUGGAGUCGACCAUGUAGACAUGCAGGUGAGGUAUUAGUUGGUAGUAAAGAUGCAGAGUUUCUUAUACAUGGAGUUCCUUGCACAUCACCUGGUGAAUCCAGUUCUGCAGAUGGCCAUGUGAUGUUUUUACCUGGGUUCGGUUGUUGCUCUUGCUUGUGGGUGUGUUGCACUUGUAUAUCCCCAAGAAUAGCCAGGAAGAGAAAUAUGGAAAUCGUAAGAAAUUCCAGACUGCUUUUAUCACACAGUGGUUUGAUCCGGAGGGCUGUAUUAGGUUAAUUCAUAAGGUACUACUCGAGCAUCAACAACCUAACAUUAGAGGUCGUAAGAAGGUCAAUCAGGAGGCCAGCAAUCUAAAGGUGUGUUGAAAUAAGGUCCAGAAUGGGCUGUUCACAUCAGUCAUCAAAGUUAUCACCUCGAGUGGCAUAACACCAAAUAAUGAGGAUACUUUGAAUAGUCUAUUGGAUGAACACCGAUACGCCCCUCCUCCUCUCAUCCCUUCCCACCCCAUUGUUCCUUGCAGCGUUAUCUCGACUAAUAAUAUCACUCUUGGAAGGAUAAAGAGUUUUCCGGAGGGUUCGUCAUGUGGACGAGACGGUUUGAGGGUACAACAUCUUCUUGAUGCUCUCAACAGGCCAGCUGAAGUAGUUGCGGGGGAUUUACUCACAUCUAUCAACGGUGUCGUUAAAAUUUGGCUUGGUGGUUCAUGCUCUGCUCAGCUUGGCGAGUAUGUCGCAAGUACUCCACUCACUCCGUUGCUCAAGCCUGAUGGAGGAAUACGUCCCAUUACUGUAGGCACAAUGUGGAGAUGUCUAGUAUCCAAAGUUGUAGAUCAAAACAUUGGCAAAGAAAUGUGUGCGUACCUUGAAGAUUUCCAGUUUGGUGUAGGGGUUCCGUGUGGAGGAGAGGGUAUUCUGCAUUCGGUUAACAUGCUCAUUUGGGAAAAAGAUUGGUAGACCUGCUAAAGGGGUUAAGUUUCUUGGGGGGCCAGUGAGUCUUGAUCAUGGUUUUUCAGUGAUUGGGUCAAGUCUAGAGUUCUCAAGACUACGGAGUUGAUGGAUGCGGUAAAGAAAUUAGAGGAUCCUCAGUGUGAAUUACAUUUGCUCAGAAGGUUGUGCCGGGGUUUCCAAGUUAUAUUUUCCGAUGCGAACCACUAUGCCCGACUACAUAAUAGAGGCGCAAGAUGCGAUUCAAUAUUAUUACUUGGCCUCGGUUAUACAGAUACAACCCCUUCAAUCUGGUAUUAUGUGCAACACUUCUUUAGUGGGGGCCUAAUCUUGGUCUUCAGCGGUCUAUGGAAUUAUUUUCAAAGUGUAUGUCCCAAUGUCAACAUCGAUCUUACUGCCCUUCAUCCCAUAAAGGUUUUGGCAGUUAAGUAUUUAAGGUUGUCAUGAAGGUGAUGCCUGAGAAGUUUUCUAUGUCUGCUCGUGACUGUGCCCUUUGGAAAUAUAACAAGUCCAAUCAUGCUCCUGAUUUUCUUAAAAGCGUUACCUAUUGUAGAUGGCGGAUUUUCGACAAAGGCUAAAUUUGUAAACUCAUAAUCAUACGAAACUUUGAUUCAGCAAUCGGACGUGAGUAUCGAGAC